ACGCGAAUCAGGAAGGAAUACUAAUAACGCCUUCCUCUUUUUCCUUAUUUAACACAUUACGAUCGACUGGUAUAACCUGGGGUGGUGUUUUACUUCCUCCACUCCAGCCCUUGCUAUCAACAUGAAGGUCGUCCUCUUUGCCUGCCUCCCAAUGGCUAUUCUGUGCCAGACAAUGGUAACGGCAAAUAAUAUGACUACAACCCCUGCAACCCCUAGUCCAACAACGUCAAUGCCAGCAGCAACGUCAGCGCCACCGCCAAACACCACGUCCAGUGAUGGAAGGGAGGUAACUGUGUCACUGGUUCCCCUGAUCGCCAGCUCUCUGCUGCUGCUCAUCCAGUAACCUGUGCAUGACGAACCAUGACGUCUGACCUCUUUCUGACUCUGACUGGCCCUGGUCUCUGACGUCGUUCAAUGCCUGUGCCAGCUCAGGGGCGACAUAGAUGCUUCUAUGACGUGGGACAGCCGUGUGCUUAAAACACUGAUAGUAUCGUUGUCGUUUUUCUUUCAAACAAUUAAACAUUUCUUUUGUUAAAAA